UGAUCAUGUUUGCUUUUCCUGUCUUUCAAAUCACUUCCUGUCCUGCUGCUCUUAUUUUCUUACUGUUUCCUGUUUGCUCUCUGUCUUUUGUGGCACCUUUACUCUCUGCUCCGUGUCUGCACACCUGUUCCUCGUUUAAUUAGUUGUAUUUAGUUCCACCUGAGUCCCUCCUUCACUGCUUCAUCAUUAUUCUUUUUUGACGGAUGUGGCUCGGACGGGUUUUAUUCGCAAGCCAAACAUUCCUCCCGCUGUGCCAACCUCACCUGUGGGGUCCCUAGGGCUCAAUACUGGGUUCCAUCCUGUUCUCCAUCUACAUGCUCUCCCUCAGCCAAGUCAUUCAUCGCCUUAAAAUUUCCUUUCAUUUCUACACUGAUGAUACUAAAUCUAUCUUCCACUCAAGACAGACGAUCCCUCUGGACUGGACCAUUUGAAGGACUGCUUGCAGGACAUAAAAGAGUGGAUGUCAAAAUUUCCUGCAGCUCAAUGACAGAGUGAAAUUCUUCUGUUCGGGAACUCCAACCCCCCAACUGUGCACAAUAGCCAAGAUCAAGUAUGUCCUCUCCCCCAGUGACUUAGAGGGUCGUGUUCAUGCUCAUCUUCUGCAGACUGGACUAAUGGAAUGCCCUCUAUGCUGGGGUCACUGACAAGACCAUAUAUAGCAUGCAGUUGGUACAAAAUGCUGGUGACAGGCACAAAAAUGAGGGAACACAUUUCUCCCAUCCUCUCCUCCCUUCACUGGCUCCUGGUGAAGCACAGAGUGAAAUUUAAGAUCCUUACGUAUGUCUUCAAAGCGCUCCGUGGUCUUGCCCCAGCUUACAUCAAACAUCUCCUGGACCAACCUAUCAGCUCCAGGCUUGGUCGUUGCCUCAGAUCUGACAACCAGAUGACCUUGAAGGUCCCACAGUCAAACCUAGUGACAAAGAGAGACUGUGCAUUUUCAAUGAUGGUACCUGGCCUAUGGAAUAAGCUCCCCCUGAAAGUCAAGUCCGCCACCACUCUGGACACUUUUAGAGCACAGCUUAAAACUCACCUCUUUGCCGCAAAUGACUUGAUUUGUGUUCGUGUGUCUUAAAUGUUUGUUCUAAAUUCCUUUCUGUCCCUGUUUUUUUUUGUUUCUCUACUCAGGCUGCGCCCCAGGCUGAUGUAAUGGUUCCUUGUGUGGGCGCAAUAAUUGAAAAUAACUUUUUUUUUUUUUUUUCUUCAAGGUCAAUUUUGUGGAGUCUGGUCUACAAUACAAGGUCUAUGUAUAUUUUCUUUUAUUUUUAAUUUUUAUUUUUUUUAAUCUUCAAGGUCAAUUUUGGGGGUCUAGUCAUCUACAAUAUAACGUCAAAAUGUAUUUCAUUUGUCAUGGUUUUUGUUAUCUACAAGGUCAAUUUUAAGGAGUCAGUUCAUCUACAAUACAAGCGCUACAACAGUACACAAGUCUUACACAAUGUGUUAUGGGUCACGUUCCUGCUUCUCCUCCUGCUGUGCGGACUGAGUGCAUGGCGGAGCACAUCAACAGGUGUUCCCUCUCCGCUGCGGGUGUGCCUCUGCAAGAGAUCUGCAAUCAACACACCUGCCGGUGAUGAGCAACCAGCCUUCAUAAGCCAGCGCGUCUUAAGAUCCGGUGCCAGAACGUAGUUUCUCCUACCAGUACACUUCCUCUUCGUCUACCUGAACCCCCUUUGGAUUCCCUCUUGCCUCCCUGGACCAAGACCUCGCUCCUGCCCUCUGACGUCCAAGCCUUUUUCUUCUUUUGGACUUCCACCUCUAUCUCAACACGCACACUCAACACCCUCUGGUGACCACGCUCAGAUAAUACUUACACAUAGUCACACUCCAUCUCUUUAAGGUAAUCACACACUGCACUCACAUACUGAGUUGUCAAUAAACACGCUGGCAGCUAA